rnacentral:rRNA from 1 species
UACAGAGGUCUCAAGCGUUGUUCGGAUUCAUUGGGCGUAAAGGGUGUGUAGGUGGCGCCGUAAGUCGGGUGUGAAAUUUCGGAGCUUAACUCCGAAACUGCAUUCGAUACUGCGGUGCUUGAGGACUGGAGAGGAGACUGGAAUUCCUGGUGUAGCGGUGAAAUGCGCAGAUAUCAGGAGGAACACCGGUGGCGAAGGCGGGACUCUGGGCCGAUACUGACGCUGAGGAGCGAAAGCGUGGGGAGCAAACAGG